AGUGAACGCUGGCGGUAGGCCUAACACAUGCAAGUCGAACGGCAGCACAGUAAGAGCUUGCUCUUACGGGUGGCGAGUGGCGGACGGGUGAGGAAUACAUCGGAAUCUACUUUUUCGUGGGGGAUAACGUAGGGAAACUUACGCUAAUACCGCAUACGACCUACGGGUGAAAGCAGGGGAUCUUCGGACCUUGCGCGAUUGAAUGAGCCGAUGUCGGAUUAGCUAGUUGGCGGGGUAAAGGCCCACCAAGGCGACGAUCCGUAGCUGGUCUGGGAGGAUGAUCAGCCACACUGGAACUGAGACGCGGUCCAGACUCCUACGGGAGGCAGCAGUGGGGAAUAUUGGACAAUGGGCGCAAGCCUGAUCCAGCCAUACCGCGUGGGUGAAGAAGGCCUUCGGGUUGUAAAGCCCUUUUGUUGGGAAAGAAAAGCAGCAGGUUAAUACCCCGCUGUUCUGACGGUACCCAAAGAAUAAGCACCGGCUAACUUCGUG
rnacentral:rRNA from 1 species